GAUGGACGCUAGCGGCAGGCCUAAUACAUGCAAGUCGAACGGGAUUGAGGAGCUUGCUCCUCAUGAGAGUGGCGCACGGGUGCGUAACACGUAUGUAACCUACCUUAAUCAGGGGGAUAGCCUCUCGAAAGAGAGAUUAACACCGCAUAAAAUCACACUAUGGCAUCAUAGAAUGAUCAAAUAUUUAUAGGAUUAAGAUGGGCAUGCGGAACAUUAGCUAGUUGGUAAGGUAACGGCUUACCAAGGCUACGAUGUUUAGGGGAUCUGAGAGGAUGGCCCCCCACACUGGUACUGAGACACGGACCAGACUCCUACGGGAGGCAGCAGUAAGGAAUAUUGGUCAAUGGACGGAAGUCUGAACCAGCCAUGCCGCGUGCAGGAAGACGGCCCUACGGGUUGUAAACUGCUUUUGUACCGGAAUAAACCUCUUUACGUGUAAGGAGCUGAAUGUACGGUAAGAAUAAGGAUCGGCUAACUCCGUGCCAGCAGCCGCGGUAAAAC
rnacentral:rRNA from 1 species